UACGGGGGGGGCAAGCGUUGUCCGGAAUUAUUGGGCGUAAAGAGCUUGUAGGCGGUUUGUCGCGUCUGCUGUGAAAAUCCGGGGCUCAACCCCGGACUUGCAGUGGGUACGGGCAGACUAGAGUGUGGUAGGGGAGACUGGAAUUCCUGGUGUAGCGGUGGAAUGCGCAGAUAUCAGGAGGAACACCGAUGGCGAAGGCAGGUCUCUGGGCCACUACUGACGCUGAGAAGCGAAAGCAUGGGGAGCGAACAGG
rnacentral:rRNA from 1 species